AGUCGAGCGACAGAGAAGGAGCUUGCUCCUUCGACGUUAGCGGCGGACGGGUGAGUAACACGUGGGCAACCUACCUUAUAGUUUGGGAUAACUCCGGGAAACCGGGGCUAAUACCGAAUAAUCUAUUUUGCUUCAUGGUGAAAUACUGAAAGACGGUUUCGGCUGUCGCUAUAAGAUGGGCCCGCGGCGCAUUAGCUAGUUGGUGAGGUAACGGCUCACCAAGGCGACGAUGCGUAGCCGACCUGAGAGGGUGAUCGGCCACACUGGGACUGAGACACGGCCCAGACUCCUACGGGAGGCAGCAGUAGGGAAUCUUCCACAAUGGGCGAAAGCCUGAUGGAGCAACGCCGCGUGAGUGAAGAAGGUUUUCGGAUCGUAAAACUCUGUUGUAAGGGAAGAACAAGUACAGUAGUAACUGGCUGUACCUUGACGGUACCUUAUUAGAAAGCCACGGCUAACUACGUGCCAGCAGCCGCGGUAAUACGUAGGUGGCAAGCGUUGUCCGGAAUUAUUGGGCGUAAAGCGCGCGCAGGCGGUCCUUUAAGUCUGAUGUGAAAGCCCACGGCUCAACCGUGGAGGGUCAUUGGAAACUGGGGGACUUGAGUGCAGAAGAGGAAAGUGGAAUUCCAAGUGUAGCGGUGAAAUGCGUAGAGAUUUGGAGGAACACCAGUGGCGAAGGCGACUUUCUGGUCUGUAACUGACGCUGAGGC
rnacentral:rRNA from 1 species